rnacentral:rRNA from 1 species
AACGAACGCUGGCGGCAUGCCUAACACAUGCAAGUCGAACGAUGCCUUCGGGCAUAGUGGCGCACGGGUGCGUAACGCGUGGGAAUCUGCCUUUCGGUUCGGAAUGACUCAGGGAAACUUGAGCUAAUACCGGAUAACGUCGCAAGACCAAAGAUUUAUCACCGAAAGAUGAGCCCGCGUAGGAUUAGCUAGUUGGUGAGGUAAAGGCUCACCAAGGCGACGAUCCUUAGCUGGUCUGAGAGGAUGAUCAGCCACACUGGGACUGAGACACGGCCCAGACUCCUACGGGAGGCAGCAGUGGGGAAUAUUGGACAAUGGGCGAAAGCCUGAUCCAGCAAUGCCGCGUGAGUGAUGAAGGCCUUAGGGUUGUAAAGCUCUUUUACCCGGGAAGAUAAUGACGGUACCGGGAGAAUAAGCCCCGGCUAACUCCGUG